GAUGAACGCUGGCGGCGUGCCUAAUACAUGCAAGUCGAGCGAACAGACGAGGAGCUUGCUCCUUUGACGUUAGCGGCGGACGGGUGAGUAACACGUGGGUAACCUACCUAUAAGACUGGGAUAACUUCGGGAAACCGGAGCUAAUACCGGAUAAUAUUUCGAACCGCAUGGUUCGAUAGUGAAAGAUGGCUUUGCUAUCACUUAUAGAUGGACCUGCGCCGUAUUAGCUAGUUGGUAAGGUAACGGCUUACCAAGGCAACGAUACGUAGCCGACCUGAGAGGGUGAUCGGCCACACUGGAACUGAGACACGGUCCAGACUCCUACGGGAGGCAGCAGUAGGGAAUCUUCCGCAAUGGGCGAAAGCCUGACGGAGCAACGCCGCGUGAGUGAUGAAGGUCUUCGGAUCGUAAAACUCUGUUAUUUGGGAAGAACAAACGUGUAAGUAACUGUGCACGUCUUGACGGUACCUAAUCAGAAAGCCACGGCUAACUACGUG
rnacentral:rRNA from 1 species